rnacentral:rRNA from 1 species
GCGAGGCCGAAAGGCGUAGUCGAUGGGAAACAGGUUAAUAUUCCUGUACUUGGUGUUACUGCGAAGGGGGGACGGAGAAGGCUAUGUUAGCCGGGCGACGGUUGUCCCGGUUUAAGCAUGUAGGCUGGUUAUCCAGGCAAAUCCGGAUAAUCAAGGCUGAGGUGUGAUGACGAGGCACUACGGUGCUGAAGUAACAAAUGCCCUGCUUCCAGGAAAAGCCUCUAAGCAUCAGGUAACAUCAAAUCGUACCCCAAACCGACACAGGUGGUCAGGUAGAGAAUACCAAGGCGCUUGAGAGAACUCGGGUGAAGGAACUAGGCAAAAUGGUGCCGUAACUUCGGGAGAAGGCACGCUGGUGUGUAGGUGAAGCCCCUGCGGGUGGAGCUGAGACCAGUCGAAGAUACCAGCUGGCUGCAACUGUUUAUUAAAAACACAGCACUGUGCAAACACGAAAGUGGACGUAUACGGUGUGACGCCUGCCCGGUGCCGGAAGGUUAAUUGAUGGGGUUAUCCGUAAGGAGAAGCUCUUGAUCGAAGCCCCGGUAAACGGCGGCCGUAACUAUAACGGUCCUAAGGUAGCGAAAUUCCUUGUCGGGUAAGUUCCGACCUGCACGAAUGGCGUAAUGAUGGCCAGGCUGUCUCCACCCGAGACUCAGUGAAAUUGAACUCGCUGUGAAGAUGCAGUGUACCCGCGGCAAGACGGAAAGACCCCGUGAACCUUUACUAUAGCUUGACACUGAACAUUGAGCCUUGAUGUGUAGGAUAGGUGGGAGGCUUUGAAGCGUGGACGCCAGUCUGCGUGGAGCCAACCUUGAAAUACCACCCUUUAAUGUUUGAUGUUCUAACGUUGGCCCCUUACCGGGGUUGCGGACAGUGUCUGGUGGGUAGUUUGACUGGGGCGGUCUCCUCCCAAAGCGUAACGGAGGAGCACGAAGGUUAGCUAAUCCUGGUCGGACAUCAGGAGGUUAGUGCAAUGGCAUAAGCUAGCUUGACUGCGAGCGUGACGGCGCGAGCAGGUGCGAAAGCAGGUCAUAGUGAUCCGGUGGUUCUGAAUGGAAGGGCCAUCGCUCAACGGAUAAAAGGUACUCCGGGGAUAACAGGCUGAUACCGCCCAAGAGUUCAUAUCGACGGCGGUGUUUGGCACCUCGAUGUCGGCUCAUCACAUCCUGGGGCUGAAGUAGGUCCCAAGGGUAUGGCUGUUCGCCAUUUAAAGUGGUACGCGAGCUGGGUUUAGAACGUCGUGAGACAGUUCGGUCCCUAUCUGCCGUGGGCGCUGGAGAAUUGAGGGGGGCUGCUCCUAGUACGAGAGGACCGGAGUGGACGCAUCACUGGUGUUCGGGUUGUCAUGCCAAUGGCACUGCCCGGUAUCUAAAUGCGGAAGAGAUAAGUGCUGAAAGCAUCUAAGCACGAAACUUGCCCCGAGAUGAGUUCUCCCUGAGACUUUAAGUCUCCUGAAGGAACGUUAAAGACGAUGACGUUGAUAGGCCGGGUGUGUAAGCGCAGCGAUGCGUUGAGCUAACCGGUACUAAUGAACCGUGAGGCUUAACC